rnacentral:rRNA from 1 species
GAUGAACGCUGGCGGCGUGCCUAAUACAUGCAAGUCGAGCGAACAGACGAGGAGCUUGCUCCUCUGACGUUAGCGGCGGACGGGUGAGUAGCACGUGGAUAACCUACCUAUAAGACUGGGAUAACUUCGGGAAACCGGAGCUAAUACCGGAUAAUAUAUUGAACCGCAUGGUUCAAUAGUGAAAGACGGUUUUGCUGUCACUUAUAGAUGGAUCCGCGCCGCAUUAGCUAGUUGGUAAGGUAACGGCUUACCAAGGCGACGAUGCGUAGCCGACCUGAGAGGGUGAUCGGCCACACUGGAACUGAGACACGGUCCAGACUCCUACGGGAGGCAGCAGUAGGGAAUCUUCCGCAAUGGGCGAAAGCCUGACGGAGCAACGCCGCGUGAGUGACGAAGGUCUUCGGAUCGUAAAACUCUGUUAUUAGGGAAGAACAAAUGUGUAAGUAACUAUGCACGUCUUGACGGUACCUAAUCAGAAAGCCACGGCUAACUACGUG